GCGGGAGCCCGCGCUCCCGGGCGCAUCUGCAGCCGCCCAGCCGCGGCUCCGGACCCAGGCAUCCCUGCGCUGUCUGGGGCCCGGGGGAAGCCCCCUGCCCCCGCAGGCUCGGAAGUGCCUGCUCCUGCUCCCUGGCCACUCCGGCUCCCAGCUCCCGGCGCCCUCUCCGCGGCGGAGAAAGUUGUGGACGUGUCCCGAUAGUCGAGCCCGGGCGCUGUCGCGACCGGGCCGGGUGUGCGCGCGCUCGGGGCGGCGCUGACACGCCAGCCCCCCAUCGCCUCGGUCCCCUCCGGAAACUGCUUCUGAAGCUGAAACUUUGGGCGCCUACCAGCGCGGGCGGGAGCCUAGGGGGCGGAGGGCGGCUUGGUGCGGGCCUGCGGGCGCCCCUCGGCGCGGACAGCCGGGACGCCGCGGACGGCAUGUGACGGUCCCGG
rnacentral:lncRNA from 1 species